CUUUUAUGGAGAGUUUGAUCCUGGCUCAGGACGAACGCUGGCGGCGUGCCUAAUACAUGCAAGUCGAGCGCGGGAAGCGAGUGGAUCCCUUCGGGGUGAAGCUCGUGGAACGAGCGGCGGACGGGUGAGUAACACGUGGGCAACCUGCCUGUAAGAUCGGAAUAACCCCAGGAAACCGGGGCUAAUGCCGGGUAAUACUUUCUUUCGCAUGAAGGAAAGUUGAAAGAUGGCUUCUUGCUAUCACUUACAGAUGGGCC
rnacentral:rRNA from 1 species